UACGUAGGACGCAAGCGUUGUCCGGAAUUAUUGGGCGUAAAGAGCUCGUAGGUGGUUUGUCGCGUCUGCCGUGAAAACCCGAGGCUUAACCUCGUGGCUUGCGGUGGAUACGGGCAGACUAGAGGUAGGUAGGGGAGAAUGGAAUUCCCGGUGUAGCGGUGAAAUGCGCAGAUAUCGGGAGGAACACCGGUGGCGAAGGCGGUUCUCUGGGCCUUACCUGACGCCGAGGAGCGAAAGCGUGGGGAGCGAACAGG
rnacentral:rRNA from 1 species